AUUCCUCUAGUAUAAUAAUACAAGUAAUUUCCACUUACUAAAUCCUAAUAAAAAUUAGGGAGAAAUA
rnacentral:tRNA from 1 species